GACGAACGCUGGCGGCGUGCUUAACACAUGCAAGUCGAACGGAAAGGCCCUGCUUUUGUGGGGUGCUCGAGUGGCGAACGGGUGAGUAACACGUGAGUAACCUGCCCUUGACUUUGGGAUAACUUCAGGAAACUGGGGCUAAUACCGGAUAGGAGCUCCUGCUGCAUGGUGGGGGUUGGAAAGUUUCGGCGGUUGGGGAUGGACUCGCGGCUUAUCAGCUUGUUGGUGGGGUAGUGGCUUACCAAGGCUUUGACGGGUAGCCGGCCUGAGAGGGUGACCGGCCACAUUGGGACUGAGAUACGGCCCAUACUCCGACGGGAGGCAGCAGUGGGGAAUAUUGCACAAUGGGCGGAAGCCUGAUGCAGCAACGCCGCGUGCGGGAUGACGGCCUUCGGGUUGUAAACCGCGUUCGCCUGUGACGAAGCGUGAGUGACGGUAAUGGGUAAAGAAGCACCGGCUAACUACGUG
rnacentral:rRNA from 1 species